AUCAUUCAAGAAAGAAAAUAGAAAAAGGGGAGUCCUUUGCACCCCAUGCACCUUUUUGAAGAGAGAUCAAAAGGUUCAAAGACUUUUCAACUAUGAAAGGACGACUCACCUUCUCAGGUCUACUCUUUUUGGAGUAUAUAUUACCUCCUGAACCGCAGCAUAUCCAGUUAGUAAUUCCCCUCAAAGCCUUCUUCCUAACUUGUCAACAACAAUGUUCUCUGAAGGCUCUCUCGCCCUGUACAAUUUUAAUUAAGAAACGACAUGACAAAUUAUCAAUACUGCAAAGAAUGACAAAACGACUGGUUGACUUGGCUAAAGUUAAAUCUGCAGUUGCGUGCUAACAUACAUGAGGUCGUCAGAAUCAGUUCGUGCAUUUCUAAUGAAGGAACACCUCCGCCGCGAAAUAAUAAGUCAAAGGUUCGAGUCAUGUGAAAAAUAACGGCACCACUAUGAUUCUUGUUGAUCGGGGGAGGAAGGAAAACAACUUUCUAAAUCAAAGAAUCAAAGGUGGCCCUAGUUUAUUGGUGCAAUUAAUGAUUGUGGCAAGAAAAUAUAUACUGGAAUAUGCUUCGAUAAGCUUAAGCAAGACACUAGAGAAGGAAAGAGAGAUGUUCUUCUCUUUGCCUGUGAUGAAAAUGCCAUCAAUUUUGGUAUCCCAUAAGAUUAGUUGGAUAGUAGAUUCUGGAGCUGCAUCUCAUAUCACGUCCUUUGAAGUGUAAAUGAUGAACAAUGCUGGUGAGGUUAAAGUGAUUGAUGUUGGCACAGUUUAUUUAAAGACUAAUAAGGGUUCGACGUUAGUUGCUCAAAACGUUAAACAUGCCCAUAAUAUAUUUAAAUAUAUAUAUAUAUAUAUAUAUAUAUAUAAAUUUGAUUUUGUUGGAAAACUAUAUGUUGAAGGUUAUUAUAAUGCCUUCUUUAAUGACCAAUGGAAGCUCACCAACGACUCGUUAGUUGUGAUUUGAGGAAGCUUAUGUAUCAAUUUGUCUCUUGCCGUUGCUAAUUGGAUGGUGAUAUUCAGUUUGAUUUGCCAAGAAUGUUUCUAAUGAUCACUUGAAAGUUAUUGGGUGUGAAACUUGUGUUCAUGUUCCUAAAGAUGCUCCAGAAACAUCUAGUAGAAGUUCUACUAGGGAAAACAAAAAUCAACACAUUAUUAUCCUAAUGAGUAUGUAUAUUUUUUUAGUUGACGUGAAGAACCUGAAAAUAGAGCUGUCAAAAUCGACUUGGCCCAUGAAGUUGGCCAAACCCUAUCCAUUAACUGGGGUUGGGCUAAGUUUUUUUUGCAGCCCAUUUAGAAGUGAGGUUCAAAAGUCCGGCAUCACUUUGCCCGUAAGCAUCAAAGGCCCUCAGAGGCUAGGCCGAGGCAACACGUGAGGUUUGGAUUUAAUUAAUUUAUUAAUUAAAAUGUCCGAAAUAAUUAAACAACGGGGCAAAGCUUUAUUGCAACCAAACACAACUCCUUUUUCAACUCCAACUUCAGCUCCAACUCUAAAAUUCUAAAUAAAGUGAAAAAUAUUUGGUUUUCAUGGUCAAACGCCUACUAAAUGUAUAUAUUAGAAUGACCCAUUAGGAAUAUAUCAUAAUAACACCUAUAGUAUUACAUCUUAUCAAAAGAGGACACAACCUUGCUUUCUCCGAUUAAAAUAUCUUCAAGGCAAAAUUGCAAGUAGAAACAUAAACUCUCCUUACAACUAACCGGAAUAAGAAUUGCGACUAGAGUCAAGACAUACACUACAAAAGUAGCAUUUUCACACCACAUUCUCUGUGAGAUUCGACCUCAACCUCGUUGGGUUACUAUAUUUGACAGCGUCCACUUUACGCCAUUUGUUAGGUGUACUUUAAGCAUGUCAAUAUUAAUUAUUAUGUUACACACCUGUUAUUAAAAUGAAGACCUAUAAUGGCUGGUGAUUUUUUAGUAACUAUCUUGCUUACUGCUUAGUAAUAUAUAUUUUUCGAGUAUAUAUACAUGUGAGGUGACUGAAGUUUUUGCAUUGAUGCAUAUGUUAUGCAAUGUUGUGGAUGCAAAUGAAGAUCAUUGUCACAUUUUUUCUGUUAUUAUGUUUCAGUCUAUUUUUAAAUUUUAUUGAAAGGCCAAUCCGUCCUAGCUCCUGGCCCACUCAGAGCUGGAUUUGGCUGCUAUUUUAAAGACCCUUCAGUAAAAAGGGCCACCCCUCCUAGCCCACUGGCCUGCUGGGGCUGGGUUGGGUUUGGACAGCCCGUUUUGACAGCUCUACCUAAAAGUUAUGAUGAUGGAAUGUAAGAUACUCACCGAGACCAGUGGAUAGACGCCAUGAUCCGGAGAAAUCUCUAUGUGAACCAAGCUUUUUCAAAUUGCGCUUCUCGCUUGGUUCACCGUCGGAUCGAGUUGAUUUUUGAUUUGAGAGUCCUCAACAUCUGAUUCUUGGAUUUGAAAGGUGGAGAUGGUUUGGAGGCGCGCAUCUUCAAAUUUCAGCCAUGAAUAGCAGAAGUGCAGAAUAUAUACGUACCUCGAAAGGAGAUCGGCCAGCGCCACGUAGGAUUCCAGUUGCUUGGAUAAGCAAACGCAACCUACUCCAUUUCGAUGUCGGAAUUGCUAAAACUUUCACAAGAGAAUUGCAGCUUUCCAUACUGAUUUUUACGGAACUGCUGAAGUAGCAGCAUGUAUUUAUUAAAAGGUAUAUACGUUGGACAUCCCUCUAUAUGUAUGCCUUGAUCUUAUACGUACUCUUUCUUUUUAAAAUUAAACACUUAAACUUUUUUGAAAAUUGUACACUUAACCUCCUUCAUAUGGUAAAAAUUCUAUGGACGUGAGCAAAUUUUAAUUUGA